GACACACUGAGACCUUUCACAUCUCACUGUCACUUCUUGGAAGGGCUCUCUACCUCGUCUGCCUGCUGAGCAACCUCUUGGGGAGACGCGGGCCCUCUUGAGUCACUGAACUUGAGCUAUUUGGUGUUGAUGUUGGAAUUUCUGAUGAAUCUGCAGUCAGUCUCUCUCCUUGGGUGUCUGAGUGCCUAUGAAAAUUUUUAAGGGCUUGCUAGUUUAUGUG
rnacentral:lncRNA from 1 species